GCCGGGAUGUUCACAACCCUUUGUUGUCCGACUCUGUUGCCUCCGGGGCGACCCUGCCUCCGGGCGGGGGCCCCGGGUGGACAUUUCAAACUCUUGCGUAACUUUGCAGUCUGAGUAAAUUUAAUUAAUAAAUUAAAACUUUCAACAACGGAUCUCUUGGUUCUGGCAUCGAUGAAGAACGCAGCGAAAUGCGAUAAGUAAUGUGAAUUGCAGAAUUCAGUGAAUCAUCGAAUCUUUGAACGCACAUUGCGCCCCCUGGUAUUCCGGGGGGCAUGCCUGUUCGAGCGUCAUUUCACCACUCAAGCCUCGCUUGGUAUUGGGCGACGCGGUCCGCCGCGCGCCUCAAAUCGACCGGCUGGGUCUUUCGUCCCCUCAGCGUUGUGGAAACUAUUCGCUAAAGGGUGCCGCGGGAGGCCACGCCGUAAAACAACCCCAUUUCUAAGGUUGACCUCGGAUCA
rnacentral:rRNA from 1 species